ACACGACACGUGGAUGCGGCUUCCUCAGUUCACCAUGCUCAUAAAGAAAACAGCAGUGUAUUUCAGCUGACUGGCAGAGACAGUGCGGUGCGUGAAGGGAAGGUUUGAUUUGGAGAGACAGUUGUUGCUGUCAUAGGCAAGCCUGGGAAAGAACUGAGAAAACGUAUUAAGAGUCAAGACAGACACCAGAAAGAGGCCCAAGAAGACUUGGACGCAGGAACAGAGGACAGCGAGGGAUGUUCAGAACUCACUCAGUCCGGUUUGGAGAAUGACUUCUCAACCCAAGACUAAGAGCAGCUGUGAGAAAGCAUCAGUUUGGAAGCAUUUGGGAAAAUGUAAAGUGCUAAAGAAGGUUCCCGGCAAAGAGGAUUGACUGUUAUGGGUCAGAGCCAGCUCUCACAAACAGAACAUGAAAAGACAUGAAAACCUGGUGCACAACAAAAUGCAAACAGAAAAGGCUCUCCGCAGCCGGUAAAAGGCUAGCAUGCAACGAAGAUGAAGUUCACACAGGUGAAUGGGAGAGUUGUAAAAGACAAAACGCUUUUUAGACAUAGCUCCAAAAUGCAGGUGCUAGUUGAGCUCGUGAGCUGGUUCUGCUCUUUUCUCAUGUUUUUGUUUUGUGGUGGAAAACUUAGUGUGUUGAGCAUAAUACGUCAACCCUGUUACCAAUAGAUAAAGGGGCUAGACAUUUUUUAGAAAUUGUAUUUUUUGUCUGAAACGUCCAAUUCAAAAGCUUCCAUUCCCCUUGGGUUGGCGCACAAUUGUCCCAGCGUCGGUUAGGAGAGGGUUUGUCUGGCAGGGAUGUCCUUGUCCCACUGCGCUGUAGCAACUCCUGUGGCGGGCCGGGCGCAUGCAUGCUGACACGGUCGACAAGUGUAUGAUGUUUCCUCCGACACAUUGGUGUGGCUGGCUUCCGGAUUAAGCGGGCAUUGUCAGGAAGCAGUGUAGCUUGGCAGGGUCGUGUUUCGGGGAGGACGCAUGGCUCUCUACCUUCGCCUCUCCCGAGUCCGUAGGGAGUUGCGGCAAUGAGACAAGACUAUAACUACCAAUUGGAUACCACGAACAUUGGGGAGAUAAAGGGGUUAAAAGAAAAAAAAAUAACAAAAAAAUAUCAUAUGAAACCCUGUUAUGGUCAGCCUUUACUUAAUAGGCACUUAUUGUGGUCAUUUUUUUGUUUAAUCUCUUGAGAUGGGAAACCAUUUUCUAUUUUUGUUUUUAUUCAUUUGAAUAUGGUCUUUAUAACAGAAGAUACAAUUAGGUGAACUUUUAGUUAUGAAUAUAAACUGGCAAUAUUCUAGUGGCCAAUCUUCGUUGCAAUAGGCCCAUGAAAUAAUAUCAGCUUUUAUGAUGCUGGUAAAGAUAGUACCUUUACAGACGGCCCCUAACUGCGCAGUGUAGCCUAUAGGUUAUACACUGAGUGUACAAAAUAGUAAGGACACCUUCCUAAUAUCUAGUUAGCCCCCCACCCCAUUUUGUCCUCAGAACAUGGAUUCUACAAGGUGUUGAAUGCGUUCCACAGGGAUGCAGUCCCAUGUUGAAGCCAAUGCUUCCCACAGUUGCCAAGUUGGCUGGAUGUCCUUUGGUUGGUGGAACGGAGCGUGAAAAAACCAUCAGUGUUGCAGUUCUUGACACAAACCGGUGUGCCUGGCACCUACUACCAUACUCCGUUCAAAGACACAUCUUUUGUCUUGCCUGUUCACCCUCUGAAUGGCACACAUACACUAUCCAUGUCUCAAUUGUCCCCAGGCUUAGAAAUCAUUCUUUAACCUGUCCUGUCCCCUUCAUCUACAAGUGACAUCAAUAAGGGAUCAUAGCUUUCACUUUGAUUCACCUGGUCAGUCUGUCAUGGAAAUAGCAGGUGUCCUUAAUGUUUUGUACACUUAGUGUAAAUUGUACAAUAAUUAUUCAUUUAUGGGUUUUGUUAUGUAGCCUAUUGUUGUCACUUUAUUGAACCUGCCUGCAACCCACCCGCCUGGGGACUGUGGGUUAUGAGACAAUCCCCGCAUCACUAGCUUGCAUGUUCUGCAGCCUUUUAGAGAUAGGGAGAGGAUGACUGGGAUGCAGUUUGGCA